rnacentral:rRNA from 1 species
UACAGAGGGGGCAAGCGUUGUUCGGAAUUACUGGGCGUAAAGGGCGCGUAGGCGGCCUUCUAAGUCGGACGUGAAAUCCCCGGGCUCAACCCGGGAACUGCGUCCGAUACUGGAAGGCUUGAGUCCGGGAGAGGGAUGCGGAAUUCCAGGUGUAGCGGUGAAAUGCGUAGAUAUCUGGAGGAACACCGGUGGCGAAGGCGGCAUCCUGGACCGGCAUUGACGCUGAGGCGCGAAAGCCAGGGGAGCAAACGGG